GACGAACGCUGGCGGCGUGCUUAACACAUGCAAGUCGAACGGAAAGGCCCUGCUUUUGUGGGGUGCUCGAGUGGCGAACGGGUGAGUAACACGUUAGUAACCUUCCCUUGACUUUGGGAUAACUUCAGGAAACUGGGGCUAAUACCGGAUAGUAGCUCCUGCUUCAUGGUGGGGGUUGUAAAGUUUCGGCGGUUGGGUAUGGUCUCGCGGCUGAUCAGCUUGUUGGUGGGGUAGUGGCUUACCAAGGAUUUGACUGGUAGCCGGCCUGAGAGGGUGACAGGCCACAUGGGGAAAGAGAUAGGACAAAGACUCCUACGGGAGGAAGAAGUGGGGAAUAUUGCACAAUGGACGGAAGCAUGAAGCAGCAACGACGGGAGCGGGAUGACGGACUUCGAGUUGUAAGCCGCUUUGGCCUGUGAAGAAGAGGGAGUGAAGGUAAUGGAUAAAGAAGCACCGGAUAACUACGUG
rnacentral:rRNA from 1 species